rnacentral:tRNA from 1 species
CGUGGUCCAGUGGUAGAGCCUUCGGCUGAUGCACAGAUGAGCCCGAGUUCGACUCCGG